CCUAUCCCUCCGCCGCCGGUGCCUCAGAUCCGCCGGUCGCGCCUCCAGUCCGCCGCCCACGCCUUCAAUCCGCCGCCCGCGAUGGCCAAGUCCGCCCGCCGUGGCAACGAGGACCCCGAGCAGGCGCGUCGCGUCAGAUCCGACGGGGCGCGGAAGCGCGCCACCUUGCGGUACACACGCCAUGGGCGGUCGCCGCCGCCGUCGCUCCUCCGCCACGAGAUGGAGGAGUACGACCGCGCGCGCGGGCGCCUCUUCUCCGGCACCGGCAGCUCCUCCGGGGCGUCCAGCUCGCGCUCCUCUAUCACCUAGGUGAAGAGAGAGCCAGAGGCCGAGGCGGGGCCGCAGCGACGUGCCGGUGGCGUCGUUGGGCAGGAGGACUUCCUCCCCUCGGCGCAGGCGGACGCCAUUUUGCCCCCGAUGCUAGCGCGCAGUGCGUGGGAUGAGAGUGGGAAGGAGGAGUGGCGCCGCGAGGCCGCUAACCAGGAGCAGAUUUUCGUCGACCUCACCUCCGACGACGACUCCGAUUGAGUGCCGCCGCUGGUUAGCUACCACACGAGCUCCGGUGAGCUCCAUUUUGUCUAGUGCUACGGUAGCGUAACUCCGGCGUAGCUCUGACCUUUUAUGUAAAUAUAUCUAUGUUGUGUACGAACGAUCUGCCCCUAUGUGAAGAAUGAUCUAUACUCCGGCGAGCUUUUGCAUUAAAGUUCUCGUGCGAAACAUGUUUUUAAAAUUUUAUGGUUUUUUAUAUAGUUUCUGAUUUGCUGUGACGAUUUUGAGCCCGUAUAGACCCCCG
rnacentral:rRNA from 1 species